rnacentral:pre_miRNA from 1 species
UAGGUACUCCCUCCGUUCCGAAUUAUUUGUCGCAGAAAUGGAUGUAUCUAGAACUAAAAAAUGUCUAGAUACAUCCAUUUCUACGACAAGUAAUUCCGAACGGAGGGAGUAUAUA